rnacentral:tRNA from 1 species
GGGGUUGUGGCUCAGUGGUAGAGCGCUUGCCUAGCAUGUGUGAGGCACUGGGUUCAAUUCCCAGCACCA